rnacentral:rRNA from 1 species
UACGAAGGGGGCUAGCGUUGUUCGGAAUUACUGGGCGUAAAGCGUUUGUAGGCGGUUAUCUAAGCUAGCGGUGAAAUCCUGGGGCUUAACCUCAGAAUUGCCAUUAGAACUGGAUAGCUAGAGAAUGUUAGAGGAAAGUGGAAUUCCUAGUGUAGGAGUGAAAUCCGUAGAGAUUAGGAGGAAUAUCGAUGGCGAAGGCAGCUUUCUGGGACAUUUCUGACGCUGAGAAACGAAAGCGUGGGUAGCAAACAGG